GAGGAAUAUUGGUCAAUGGGCGCGAGCCUGAACCAGCCAAGUAGCGUGCAGGAUGACGGCCCUAUGGGUUGUAAACUGCUUUUGUAUGGGGAUAAAGUUAGGGACGUGUCCCUAUUUGCAGGUACCAUACGAAUAAGGACCGGCUAGUUCCGUGCCAGCAGCCGCGGUAAUACGGAAGGUCCAGGCGUUAUCCGGAUUUAUUGGGUUUAAAGGGAGCGUAGGCUGGAGAUUAAGUGUGUUGUGAAAUGUAGACGCUCAACGUCUGAAUUGCAGCGCAUACUGGUUUCCUUGAGUACGCACAACGUUGGCGGAAUUCGUCGUGUAGCGGUGAAAUGCUUAGAUAUGACGAAGAACUCCGAUUGCGAAGGCAGCUGACGGGAGCGCAACUGACGCUUAAGCUCGAAGGUGCGGGUAUCAAACAGGAUUAGAUACCCUGGUAGUCCGCACAGUAAACGAUGGAUGCCCGCUGUUGGUACCUGGUAUCAGCGGCUAAGCGAAAGCAUUAAGCAUCCCACCUGGGGAGUACGCCGGCAACGGUG
rnacentral:rRNA from 1 species